ACAUCACAAUGGCUUAGGCAACCAAUAAUCAGCAGCCACAUGUGAAGGAGAGUGCCCCAAGGAUGCUGGUAGCUCAACCAGUCUCACUUCACCCCACCUCAUUACGCAUCUUCCCGACUCAGCUCAGAACUUCUCUCAGCCUUCCAUUGAGUUGAUGAUCUUCCUGUCUAGCUGCUAUGAUGGCAAUCGCUCUUGGAACCUUUGUGAUGUGGGGAAUCCAGCAGCAGGUUCCCGGACUCUGAUUUGACCUCUAACAAAAGCAAAUUCUGCUGUUUGAAUUGGCUAAUGGUUUUGAUCAUCAUUAGAUUCUUCAUCAAAAUCUGGAUUAUUAUUUUUUUAAAAAAAGAUAUACACUAUAUCAGGAAGAGAACAGAAUCCUGCAUGUGCUAAGAUAAGAUGUCCAUAGCAUUGCUUAAUUUGCCAGGGGUGGAGAUGUAUAAUUAGCACUAGCAAAAGCACUUAGACUUAUAUACCGCUUCACAGUGCUUUACAGCCCUCUCUAAGCAUCAGCCUCUUUCCCCCAACAAUCUGGGUCCUCAUUUUACCGACCUUGGAAGGAUGGAAGGCUGAGUCAACCUUGAGCCUGGUGAGAUAUGAACUGCCAAAUUGCAGGCAGCUGGCAGUCAGCAAAAGUAGCCUGCAGUACUGCAUUCUAAUCACGCUGCCACCAUGGCUCAUAAUUGAUUUAAUGCUUCAGGAGACUUCCAGCGGUGAUGUCACGCUGUAGCGGGGCACAUGAGUGGGGCUCUGCUUGUUUGUACCCGAUUUUCCAUGUUUUUGAAGCUUUUUUGGCAGGCCGGAUCUUGGAGGGAUCGGUGAGGUUGAGGGGUUUCUUCGGAGUUUGAACAUGGAGCAGUGUGAGCACCUGUUUGGCGAGAAGAGCCCUCCGGAUACACACGUAAGAAAUCUGCUUGAGAAUGGCAGAUCCAGAGGCAUGAUGCCCCGAUGAUUUGUACAGGGAGCGAAUAGUGGAAAGCAGCUUGAAGAACUGGAGAGAGGAGAAUAAAAGUGACAGAAAAGGAAAACUCUCAGAGAUUGUUAAAAGAUUCGAAAGAGAAGCAGUAAAGUGAGACGCCAAGAGGGAGCUUGAGCAGCAAGGCAGCGGUGGGAGCGGAGAUCGAGAGCUGUCAAACAGGAAAAGAACUUAUCAUGGUGAGUGGAGCAAACGAAUGGAUUGGGACUUGUUUGCUACAUUUUUGGUACUAGAAGAAACUUUAUACUCUUGGAUGCUAUUGUUGGGGGGUAAGAAGAGAAAGUUGGCUUUGAAGGAUAUGUUGGAGGUGAUAGAUUAAAAUCUGAGCUACAGACAACAAAGGUGACUCUGCAGUUUUAAAUAAAGAAGACAUUUUGAAGGAAGGGGUGAAAAACUCUUUUAAAAAAAAUCUUGUGUCUGUUAACUACUUGAAGA